CUCAGAGUGAACGCUGGCGGCGUGCCUAACACAUGCAAGUCGAACGAGAACGGGUUAUAGCUUGCUAUAACUGUCAGCUAAGUGGCGCACGGGUGAGUAAUAUAUAGUUAAUCUGCCCCAAAGAAGAGAAUAAUUGUUGGAAACGACUUGUAAUGCUCUAUAUGCCUUUAUUACAUAAGUAAGCAAGGGAAACAUUUAUGGCUUUGGGAUGAGACUGUACGGUAUCAGCUAGUUGGUGAGGUAAUGGCUCACCAAGGCAAUGACAUCUAACUGGUUUGAGAGGAUGAUCAGUCACACUGGAACUGAGACACGGUCCAGACUCCUACGGGAGGCAGCAGUGGGGAAUAUUGCACAAUGGAGGAAACUCUGAUGCAGCAACGCCGCGUGGAGGAUGACACAUUUCGGUGCGUAAACUCCUUUUAUAUGAGAAGAUAAUGACGGUAUCAUAUGAAUAAG
rnacentral:rRNA from 1 species